rnacentral:tRNA from 2 species
GGAGAGAUGGCUGAGUGGCCUAAAGCGCAGGUUUGCUAAACCUGUGAAGGAGUAAUCCUUCCGAGGGUUCGAAUCCCUCUCUCUCCGCCA